CUAGUUUUGGUUUUAUCUCUCUCCCAAUACCGAGGACCUUCACCACCUACCAACACCUACAUCCUACCAGUGGGGGAUCGACGCCACUGAAUGCCAUUUACAACUGAGCUUUUUACUAGGUGAGUAGGAGUAUUACCAUUGCUUCUAAACUCCUCUUUUCACUACCAGAAACAGAUUACACUAUUGGAAUUUUUUCUAAUUUACAUACUCCUAUGGAAUCUGAAUAUCCCACUACCUCAGAACCUCUACAACCAACAUAUCCAUAUCUCACUCAAAUUCUUCAAUCAAUUUGGACUUUUCAUCAAUAUGUCUUUUAACCAGGACUAUUCUAUUUCGCAUUUAUGAUUUUGUAUGUAAGUAUACCACUGGUUUUAUCAUUGAUUUUAUUGUGGUGCAACCUAUAAUUUUCGUUUUUACAUUAAUAUAAAUCUUAAAUUCACCUCAGAAAUUGGUGGCAACUGUAUCAACUUUCUUGAUAUUACAAUUUUCAUAGGGAUGGAUAGUAAACUAGAGACCACCUUAUGUCAAAACACGACUGCAACCAACAACUUACUUAACUGGCUGAGUCAUCAUCCACCAGUCCUUAAAAGGGGUAUACCAGUUGGGCUAUAUUUUAGAUUACGUAGAAAUUGCUCAUCUGUGGAAGAUACCCACUGAAACCUCAAUGACUCCAAAAACCCUUUAAGGAAAAAAGGGUAGCCAUAUACAAGGGUAGCCAUAUCCAAAUGGUCUAAAUAAAGGUUUUUCAUAUACCCCAUUUAUUCAGUAAUAUCUCAUUUUCUCUGCUAUGUGUUACCUUUUCUAAGAACUAUAACGUCUUUGUAAAUAUUUAAAUAAAUGAUUUUAUGUGUAUAUACAUUCUGUAAACUCUGUUGGAGGGGCCUGUUUGCCAGCCUCCUGCCAAAAGACUAUGGGCCCUUUAAAAAACCUUUGUGAUUUAUGUACUGUUGUACUCCAGAAAGAGAGACCUACCAUUAGCCCUGAUUCCCUGGAACUGUUUUGGGCAUAGGACCAUGUGCACGGUCGGUCAAAAUUAUGACUUCCAUGGAAAUUCUGAACCAUUGAACAGAUCUGGGUGAUUUUUGGAUAUGUUGGUCCCCCAGAUCAGGGCUAUCAGGGGAUGUGACUUUGUGAGGUUUCCAUGUAUUUUGGGGGUACUUUUGGGAGGUUGUUAUAAUGUAUGUUUUCUGUGCCUGGUGAUAAUGGAGUUUAGUACAGUUCCUGACUCAAUUAUCUCUCAGGCACAGGGGAGGGAUUAUCCUGUUUUGUGUGGGAGUGUCCUGGACCUCAGAGCCAAUGUAAUUACAGUGUGUACUUUGUCACAGUCCCCUCUCAGGUCCAGUGGGGAAUGCCCCUGGAAUAUGUAUCCGGAAAACCCUUGCAUGGGGACUGCAUGUGGCUCCCAUUAAACCAGUUCCUCUUCACCCUCAACAUAGAACCUCGUCUCAUGUGUGGAGGGAACAGCUAUAUUCACUCUGGGGAUUGCUAUAAUCACUAUACUCCCUUGGAUUAUAAUCACUUGCUCUUGUAAGAGCUAUCCUGCUAUAUUCUCUGGAGUAGGAGAGGUCUACCCACUGUAAGCUGGAUCCUGGUCUUGGGUCCAGGGUGGGUGGAGGACAGCGAGACCCCAACCAAGUUGUAAUGCUGGCUGCAGGGUUUACGGUUGUUAUGGUGUCGAGUGGAGUGCUUGGAGUACUUGGUGAGCACUAGGAAGCAGAAAUCAGCCGAGGCACCCAGUCGGGGUGCCAGGGGGUCCGCCACAACUUUAACUUAUGACAUUUUGCCUAAUGAAGAAUUUUAAAUGUUUAGUUUACUGGCUACUACAGGUGGGGCACCAAUAAUGUAUGAGAGAUUGAUAACAGCUUUUCAAAAAUUGGUUACCCUUGAAAACUCCACAUCUGGUUUAGAAGGUUUAACCUAAUUGCUUUGUGGACCCAACCUUAUAUAUUGGAGAUCCUUUCAGUCUGCAUCUUGCCUCACACUAAGUGGCACCGAAACGUGCAAAUUUUUGCACAUUUACUAUUUCACUGUGCACUUUAUUUACAGCACUAUGCACUUUUCAAUUUCUUUGUUCAUUUUCUUUGUCUAGUCAGUUUUAAAGGGAGAGAGGGAUCUUUGCAUAUCUCUACCUUAUGCUAUACUUUGCUAUUGAUCCUCAAUAGAGGCCCAGUCUAUUUACUCGUUACGUUUUUCAUUUUAUAUGCAGUAGCCUUUUUGUGCAUUUACAGUUUGUUGUUUCCAAACCACUUAAGGGUAUCGAUAGGAGACAUUAUUUUGUAUCCCUUAUCACUGUUAAUCUUGGAAAUGAAAUGGUGGUUACUUUAACUGCUAUGGGUAUAUAAUAUUAAUAAGAAUAUAAGAGGGGCUAGUUGGCAAACACUUUAAUAAAGCCUUUUAUUUCAUUGAUAUGUGGGAGUUUAAGUGAUCACUAGACAGAUCAGAAAUGCCUUUUUCACGGACCAUGUAUUUUACUAGUUAAUCAUUAUAAGGUUACUCUCUGUCCUGCUUUCUAUACCAGGCAGCCUUUUCCAUCGGUUUUCUUUUGGGAACUACAAAUUAUUUCUGUACUUUUAUUCCAGUCCUGAUAGUCAAUAUACUCCACUAUUGGACUCUCUCUGGUUUUUGUUUUACAUAUUUACUUAUCCGAAGCACAACGACCACCCACCACUACCCUACAAUGCAAUGUUUGCAAGCUCACAGGCCCAGAAUAAUAGCACAAUGUUCUGUGGGUUUCUAGGUGUCCAAUCUCUGUCUAGAAAUCUAGGAAUUUAUUUCUAUUAUAGUUGAUAGUAGCUCUUCUGGUAAUUAGAAUAACUUGGGCCCUAAUCGUGCUGUAAAUUCAUCAGGAUUACAGACUGGAUUACAAUAGACAGCAAGCUCCAGGGGUCAAUUCUAGUAUACCAGUUAUAUUAUCAGAUUGUCCCUGCUUACAGCUUAGAUUGCAAGCUCUUUAGGUCACUAACUGCUGCUAGAAGGAAGUCAUGAUUCUGAUUUGGCAGGUGACAUAUUUCUAUCAAUUCCUGGUGUUGUGAGAGACAAUGACAAGUGACACAGGAACAGGAAGAAAGAUCUAAAGCUUGUAUUUAGAAUCCAAACCCCAUCAGCCGCCUGGCAGGAGGGGACAGUUUAUCACAUUCUCAGUCUUUUCUCACCUUCAUUCAGACACAUCGAACACAGAUCAUUUUAGUUACCAAUUUGGUAGCAGCGGGAGAUUAGCGUCCCAUUGCGCGUCUUUCCGAGUGUAGUUUAUAUCUAAUCCAGGCCAGUGGGACGCCCUCAGUGUUACUUGCUCUCAACAAUUUUUAUAAGAGUGGAAAUCAAUCAAAUUCAUGCCUUUGUUUUAUUUAAACAAUCUAUCAGCCACAGGGAUUCUAUCAGCUCUUUCCUGGCUGCGAGCGAGGUCCAGCUCUGUCGUAGUCCAAACUUCUACCCCAAAUGGUUUCUUAGUUUUUUUAUGAACAAUUAAUGAAUCAGCACAGGGCAGUAGUGGUACUUUCCACAUAAAAACCUACAAAGAUUCUCACCCUGCUUUCAUUCAAAAAUAUCCAAAUAAUGUGAGUUUCUGCAAUGUUACGACAAUGUGAGUUUCUGCAAUGUUACGACAAUAUGUAUAUAACAUGCGACACUAUAAAAAUGUUAAUUAUCAGUUAUCCCAUGUCCGGUACCCAUUAUCAGUUACCCCAAGUCCAAUAGCUAUUAUCAGUUACCUCAGGUCUGGUACCCAUUAUCAGUUACCCCAUGUCCGAUAUCCAUUAUCAGUUACCGCAUGUCCAGUACCCAUUAUCAGUUACCCCGUGGCAGUUACCCCAAGUCCAAUAGCCAUUAUCAGUUACCCCAUGUCUGGUACACAUUAUCAGUUACCCAAGUCCAAUAGCCAUUAUCAGUUACCCCAUGUCUGGUACACAUUAUCAGUUGCCCCAAGUCCAAUAGCCAUUAUCAGUUACCCCAUGUCCCAUAUCCAUUAUCAGUUACCGCAUGUCCAGUACCCAUUAUCAGUUACCCCGUGGCAGUUACCCCAAGUCCAAUAGCCAUUAUCAGUUACCCCAUGUCUGGUACACAUUAUCAGUUACCCAAGUCCAAUAGCCAUUAUCAGUUACCCCAUGUCUGGUACACAUUAUCAGUUGCCCCAAGUCCAAUAGCCAUUAUCAGUUACCCCAUGUCCCAUAUCCAUUAUCAGUUACCGCAUGUCCAGUACCCAUUAUCAGUUACCCCGUGGCAGUUACCCCAAGUCCAAUAGCCAUUAUCAGUUACCCCAUGUCUGGUACACAUUAUCAGUUACCCAAGUCCAAUAGCCAUUAUCAGUUACCCCAUGUCUGGUACACAUUAUCAGUUGCCCCAAGUCCAAUAGCCAUUAUCAGUUACCCCAUGUCUGGUACACAUUAUCAGUUACCCAAGUCCAAUAGCCAUUAUCAGUUACUCCACAUCAGUUAACCCACACCCAUUAUCAGUUACUUCAUGUCCCAAACCCAAUUUUAGUUACCCCAUGGCAGUUACCCAAUGUCCGAUACCCUUUAUCAAUUACUCUGUGGCAGUUACCCCAUGUCCGAUACCCAUUAUCAGUUACCUCAUGUCUGAUACCCAAUUUUAGUUACCACAUGUCCCAAACCCAUUAUCACUUACCCCAUGUAAUUUACCCCAUGUGUGAUACCCAUUUUUAGUUACCCAGUGUCCGAUACCUAUAAUCAGUUACCCCUUGGAAAUCACCCCAUGUCUGUUACCCAUAAUCAGUUACCUCAUGGCAAUUACCCUAUGUGUGAUACCCAAUUUUAGUAACCCCAUAACAGUUACCCCAUGUCCAAUACCCAUUAUCAGUUACCCAACAGCAGUUACUCUAUGUCCGAUACCCAUGAUCAGUUACCUCAUAGCAGUUACCACAUGUCCAAUUAUGAGUUACCCCAUGGUUACCAAAUGUCCAAUACCCAUUAAUAGUUACCCUAUGGUAGGUACCCCAUGCUUGGCACCCAUUUUUAGUUAAAAGCAAGAGGAUAUUCACUUGUCCAGUACUGGUACAGUUCAAAGGGCAGCUAGGUCACCAAAUCCAGGGUUUCUCUUGUCCCGUAGAUAAGCAGGUAAAAACAAAGAGGGAGGGGCAGCACCUGGAAUGUCCUGGAAUGUCCUUGGAGUAUGUAUAUAUAACCAUAAUAAGGAGGAGAAAUAAGAAACUGAUAGUAAAGUAUGUAAAAAAUACAGUAAGGUAAAGGUAAAUAAACUAUAUGCACUUACACUUUAUAGGAGCUUAGUUGCAGCUCUAACUUAGAAACUUUGGUGGAACAAUUCCCACCUGAGAAUAUGAUGGAGGACUCACUCUAUAGAUGGUUAUUGUGGAUGCAGCUUCUCAUGCAGAUAUGUAGGAGAAAUUAGAGAUAUAUAGUGCUUGGGUAGGUUUGGAUCUGAUAGAGGGGUAGAUUGCAUUCUGGAUAGAGGGUCAGAUAGGGUUCGGUAGGUUGGGUUCUGGAUAGUGAGGUUUGUAGGGCUGGAUAGGUUGGGUUCUGGAUGGAGGGGCAGAUAUGGCUGGGUAGAUUGGGUUCCACAUAUAGGGGUAGAUAUGGCUGGGGGCUGGAUAGUGGGGUAUGUAGGCUGGGUGGGCUGGGUUCUGGAUAGUGGGGUAUGUAGGCUGGGUGGGCUGGGUUCUGGAUAGUGGGGUAUGUAGGCUGGGUGGGCUGGGUUCUGGAUAGUGGGGUAUGUAGACUGGGUAGGUUAGUGUAACGGAUCGAAAUAGUAUAAACAAAGAUAGAGAUAGGGGCACAACUUAAAGUGUAAUAAGAAAAUAAAGAAAUAAGUUGACAAUACUUAUUCACAUUUGGCCAUCAAAUUUAGAAUUUCACUUAAAAAACAGACAAUACAAAGCAUAAUACUGUAUAAACAUAAAAUGUCAAUGUUGGAUAUAGAUUUCACACUCACACUUUGCAGAGCCACAUAUAGUAGGCUCUGACUUUUCAGGCUUUUCAAAAUGCUCACUGUUAAAAAAAAAAAAGGGUCCCUAAAUACUAAUAGAGGGGGGACCGUUUGUCCUCCCCCUGGCCGCUACCCCUGAGCGGUAGGUGGGAGCCCUAAAAUUAACAAUAAGGGGGGGACCUAUUGUCCCCCCCGGUCCCCACCCCUGAGCGGUGGGUGGGGGCCCUAAAAUUAACAAUAAGGGGGGGACCUAUUGUCCCCCCCCGGCCCCCACCCCUGAGCGGUGGGUGGGGGCCCUAAUAACAAUAAGGGGGGACCUAUUGUCCCCCCCUGGCCCCCACCCCUGAGCGGUGGGUGGGGGCCCUUAAAUUAACAAAAAAAUUAUAUAAAAAUAACUUACCAUUUGAUGUUUUCUUUCUUCUACAAUCUUCUUUUUUCAGCCCCAAAAAAGGCCAAAAAAAGCCAUAAGAACCGACGCAAUAAAAAAAACCAACCAAAAAAAAAAACCGAGCGCACAAAAAAAUAAUCCAUCUUCACCCAUGGAGGGCUCCGCGCAGACUGAGCUCUGCAGGGCGGGGGAAGGCUUAUAAAGCCUUGCCACGCCCUGCAAUUAGGCAGGGCGUAAAAUGACACAGAGCACUCUGAUUGGCUGGUUUAAGCCAAUCAGAGUGCUCUGUGUCAUUUUACACAGCGUGGGAAAAUUGAACUUUCCCACGCUGUGUAAAAUGACACAGAGCACUGUGAUUGGAUGGAUUUCAAGCCAUCCAAUCACAGUGCUCUGUGUCAUUUUACACAGCGUGGGAAAGUUAAAUUUUGGCUUGAAAUCCAUCCAAUCACAGUGCUCUGUGUCAUUUUACACAGCGUGGGAAAGUUAAAUUUUCCCACGCUGUGUAAAAUGACACAGAGCACUGUGAUUGGAUGGAUUUCAAGCCAUCCAAUCACAGUGCUCUGUGUCAUUUUACACAGCGUGGGAAAGUUCUUUUGAAUUUUCCCACGCUGUGUACAAUGACAAAGAGCACUCUGAUUGGCUUAAACCAGCCAAUCAGAGUGUUCUUAGCCUAAUUGCAGGGCGUGGCAAGGCUUUAUAAGCCUUCCCCCGCCCUGCAGAGCUCAGUCUGCGUGGAGCCCUCCAUGGGUGAAGAUGGAUUAUUUUUUUGUGCGCUCAUUUUUAAAAAAUUUUUUUUUUUUUAAUUGCGUUGGUUCUUAUGGCUUUUUAUUUGGCCUUUUUUGGGGCUGAAAAAAGGUCUUGGGGUCUGAGCGAUCAUAGGGCGAACCCCUGGGGUCGGAUUUGAGAUCAGUCCCUUUUUUGGUGGCCAGGUUGAUGGCAUUGGAAGCAUUUGGGGCCACCUGUGGGGGUACCCUUGGGUGGUGGGCUUCUUGGUGGGGGGUAGGUUGGGGCUGUAGGGCGCAAGGGGAGUCUGUAGGUCACAGGAGCAGCUGGGCAUUGGGGCCACUGGGUGUCAGCAUAGUCAUCACUCUCUGUGCUGCCUCAGUUAAAGUUCUGGGCUGGCUGUCCCUCACCCACUUCCACACCUCAAUGGGGAGCCCGUUUUAAAAAUGUUCCAACAUGAAGAGCUGUAGGAUCACGGGGGGUGGGGGGUGGGACUUGGUAUGUUCAGAGUUUAUCCAGUUGUGGGUGGCCCGGGUGAUACAGCAUGCCCACUCUGUAUGGGAGUCCUUCUCUCCGUUCUUGGUCUCACUGAAUUUUCGGAAGUAUGCCUCUGGGGUGAUGGCAAACCUGGCCAGUAGUACCUUCUUAAUGAAGGGGUAAUCCCGGAGCUGUUCCUCAGUUACAGCCCGGUACACUUCCACCACCUUCCCCAACAACUUGCUGGACAAGAUGGUUACCCAGUCAGGUUGGUUGACUGCUUGCAGGAGGCACUGGCAUUUGAAAUAGUCAAAGCCCUCUUCUGCUUCCUUAAACUACUUUAAGGCGUUGUAUGGCAGCUUUGGCUUGUGUGUAGGUGUAGACGGCUCCUCUUGCCCGCUGUCCCUCGGGUAGUGUGACCCCCCCCUACUUCUGAGCCAGAACAAAUGCGUGGGUCUCCGCGAUGAGCUUGGCUAGUAUUUCAGAUGGGGGCAUCCCUGGGAAUAAGGCAAAGUGCUGCCUUAUUGCCUUUUUGACCACUCUUCCCCCUCCAGCUGUGGAGUAGCCGACUCCUGUCUUCUCUGAUCGUCCUCCAUGAGUUUGGCAAUCAGCUCCACUGUUUUAUGGUUGCCUGCCGAUUUCCCUCUCGCUUCCAGCAAGUCCUGUAGGGUUUGUCUCUUGAGGUAACUAUAGUCCAUGGAUCUGUUCGCAGGGACAUAGGAUACCAUCGCUUGCCACCAGUUGUAGCGGGCCGAGGGUAACCCGAUUGGUUACCUCAACUGAUACAGAACGAAGAUGACUGGAUGACACACAGUUCCAGGCGUACAACAACAACAACUUUAUUGGCCACAUUCGACUUUAUGCUUUUCCCCAUGCAAGGGGUGGAUCACACACAAAGACAAAGACCCAGGGUAGGCACGCGCUGAGGCUUCCUUGCGGUAUGUGGUUUUCACACGUCGUUUGUGAGGUGUGAACGUUCUAAACAAACAUUCUUAAUGGGGUAUUGACGUGGUCCCUGUUCGGGAGACUAACGGAACCCAUUUGUAUAAGUUCUCCCAAAUAGGGAACAGGUAAAACAUACAAAUACAUGGAGGGGAGGGGGGGAAUACAGGCAAUCACAUAAAGACAUUUCAAGAAAAGGGUAGAGGUCCUGCCACAGUGAGAUACUGUAUGCCUUCCAAGCACUUGAUGCAGUCUUUGAGCCCAAUAAACCUAUGCCUUCUUUGGGCUCUAAGGGCAUGACAGUCCUAGAGCCCAAUCAAAAUAUGCCUUCAAAGGGCUUGACGUAUUCCUUGAGCCCAAUCAACCAAUGCCUUCCAAGGAGGUUAUGGAUGAAUGGAAGGCGGAGGAUUCCCCGUCCGAAGAGGAGGACUGGUUUGACACUCACCGAGAGGACCCGGGGUCUGACUUAGACGAAGACCAGGAGGUCCGGCAGGGGCAUAGGAAACCCCGCAUCCGAGCAGAAGGGUCGGAAGAGGGUGCCUUCCUGGACCCCCAGGGCACGCCGAUGUUCAACCCACGCACAAUCCGCCACCCAAGGUCUUCGGAGUGGGGUCUCCCAGAUCACCUGGCCCAAUUCAUCCACUUCUGGCUGCGACAGCCGAUGGAAAAAGAAAUGCGUGUACGACUAAAGGCAGAGUGUCCGAGGCCCAUGCUUCCGGACAAGAUUGCUCAUACUCCGGAAUUCGAUACUACGGUGGUCUUGUUCAUGUUGCGAGCGGGCUUCCAAGGUCAUAACAGUCCCAUGCCCAUGCUUCCGGACAAGAUUGCUCAUACUCCGGAAUUCGAUACUACGGUGGUCUUGUUCAUGUUGCGAGCGGGCCGGGAUCCGCGCAAAGGCAUCGAGAAGGGCCUCAAGGCUUCGCAGGAUAAGCUUCUGGACAUGCUGGGCCCACUGGCAAAGAUUUUAUACCUGGCUGAUGAUGCCCUCACGGGAGGCAACGCUCUAGACGCCCAUGACAUCCGGGAAUGGGCUCAACGAGCGAUCUGUAUGUUGGGCAACACUAACGCAGCUCUAUGUGCGCAGAGACGCAAGGCGGCUUUGCUUAAAAUGGACUCCAAACUUCUGGAGCUUGGUAAAAAGGAGUUGGGCCCACAAGCCAAUGGCCAGUUGUUUGGGGAGUCGUUCAUAGGCGAAUUGAAGAAACAUGUGAACCUGUUCACUACGUUAAGCAAAGCACAGACUUCGAUCAAGCAAGUCUUCCGCAAACCCACAACGUACAGAGGGGUUUUCGGCAGGGCUGGCCGCCAACGGGGCCGAGCCACCAGCCGCUUCUGGCCGACAGGCCUCAGGAACCAAGCGUCACAAGCCUUCUUCCCAUGGAGGCCACCGUUCACUAGAGACUCCUUCCGUGCCAGAGGGACACACGGCCGCGGACGCAACAACACAGGCGAGCACUCUAAAACCAAUUGUAAGGAAAUCAAGUAUAGCUGAACCGCUUUGAUAAUUCCUCCUGCAAUGCCAGCGUCUAGGGUAGAUCCAAGCAAUAAAGUCCAUAAGAAAUAUAACAGCUUCCCAAGAUAAUCCCCCUGGUAAAGCAUACGAAUUCCCAAAUAACAGUCAGAGUCCAGAAUCAGGAUACAAGUAGAUCUGAGGUCUGGAAUCCCCAGCCUGCUUUUUAUUAGGGUUACAUACAAAAAAUACACACCCAGGGGGAGGCAUUAAAUCACCAAUCAGGUACAGGUUACAGCCCCUACCUCCCUCCCCUCUGAUAAACAGUUAACUUCAUUAAAACGUGCACUAUUUUACCCCAGUUCUGGAUGUACCCCAAAAACAGGGGGUACACCUUUAAAUUGGGCACCGCUGGAUAGUGCUCACUUGUGGGGACAAUAUGUCAAAAAAUCAGUCCAUUCGGAUGAAUGGUUCGGGAGUUAUGGAGCACUAAAGUUUUGACCGACCGCACGGAUCAUCUAGCCGAAAAUAGUUCCAUAAGUUUUGGCCCUGCGGUCGGUCUCCGUUUAGGCGAAUAAAAAAGACGAAAGUCCUGCCAUCCGUUCGCAUCUUCGUGGUCGUUGAAAUCCCCAUGCGAAGUUGCAUGUAACUACCGAACGGCCGGUGAUUCGGUUUUUCCCGUGCGAAGUUCUGGAUGUAUGGAGGUCUCAGCGGUGUUCGCCUGUUUGCGUAUCCGAUUUUAGUUCCACGCGUUGACGGGCAAACACCGCUGUUCGCACGUAAAAUGGCCGCGACCACGUGUAAAGUGCCGAAAUGGCGGCCACCUAGAUUUUACACGGGGAAUUCGCCUGAAUCCAUCCGAAGGGUAGCAAUUAUAGCUAUAUGCCAAAUUCCAGCUGAAUUGGGUGAAUUAACUGUGCAACAAAGGUAGAAAUUCUGAUGAACGGAGUCAUUUCUUCACACUGCUCCCCUAUAAGUCCAUAGGUCGGCAUACCCGCCUAGACCCUGUCGGGUUGGCUUGGGGAUGUCCGAUGAAAGUACGUUUUUAGGUGUCCAGUUCGGUCUGGCGGGACAGUCCAUCCGCAUUCCCAUUUUGUUUACCCGGACGGUACUGCAUGGUAAAAUUGUAUGGUUGGAGAGCUAGGCUCCACCGGAGUAGCCUGGGGUUGUCACCAGCUACCCGGUUGAGCCAUACCAGGGGGUUGUGGUCGGUCAUAAGGGUAAACGCUCGCCCAUACAGAUAGGGCUGAAGUUUCUUGAGGGCCCACACGAGGGCCAAGCACUCUUUUUCUACGGUGGCAUAGCUGACUUCUCGGGGCAAAAGUUUACGGCUGAGGUAUGCCACCGGGUGUUCCAUGCCAUCCGCCCCCACCUGGCUUAGCACGGCUCCCAGCCCAAACAUGGAGGCAUCUGUGUGGACAAGAAAUUGUUUAGUGUAAUCGGGUGCUGCCAACACAGGGGCCUCACUCAAGGCCGUUUUGAGCUUCUGGAAAGCGUCCGUGCACUCUGGGGUCCAGGAGACCUGUUUGGGAAGGGCCUUUUUGGUAAGGUCCGUGAGGGGCUUGGCCAGGGCGCUAUAUUCUGGGACGAACUUCCUAUAAUACCCGGCCGUCCCUAAGAAAGCCAGUACCUGGGUUUUGGUCCGUGGUUGGGGCCAGUUAGCUAUGGCUUCUACCUUAGCGGGCUCUGGGCGUUGCCUACCGGAGCCGACACGGUGGCCUAGAUACUGGACCUCGGCUAGGCCUACGUGACACUUGUCGGGUUUCAAAGUGAGCCCGGCGAGGUGGAUUCGUUCGAGUACCCUGGACACAUGACCCAGAUGGUCUCCCCAUGUGCGGCUAUAGAUGGCAAUAUCAUCUAGAUACGCACAUGCGAAGUCCUGAAACCCCUCCAGGAGCCUAUCCGCCAUCCGCUGAAACGUAGCCGGAGCGUUCUUCAUCCCAAAGGGCAUCACCUUAAAUUGGUAUAGCCCAAAAGGGGUGACGAACGCCGACCUGGGGAUGGCCGCAGGCUCCAAGGGGAUCUGCCAAUAACCCUUGCACAGGUCCAGGGUAGUCAAGUAGUUCCCCCCCGCCAUACGGUCUAAGAGCUCAUCUAUUCUAGGCAUGGGGUAGGCAUCGGUUAUGGUACGGUCGUUAAGCCUCCGGUAAUCUACACAGAAGCGCUUAGUGCCGUCGCGCUUCGGUACUAGUACCACCGGGGAGGCCCAAGGACUUUGGGAGGGUUCUAUUACCCCUAGCCGUAACAUAUCCCUUAACUCGGUGAGCAUACUCUCACGUACUGCUUCCGGGAUCCGAUAUGGCUGUUGCCGUAGGGGCGUCUCUCCCUGGGUUUCCACACGGUGUACCGCAGCGGAGGUAUAGCCUGGGGUAGCGGAAAACAUCUCUCGGUAUCCCUGCAGCAGAUGGGUAGCCUCACCUUUCUCCAGGAGGUCUAAAUUUUGCCCCAAGCUUACUUGGUCAAUAGUACAGGGGGUGGUCUCCAGCAAGUCAGGCAGGGGAAGCCCUUCACUAUCCUCUGUGGCGGGGGCGCACACGGCGCCCACCUCCUCUGUCCUUUCAAAAUAUGGUUUGAGCAUGUUCACAUGGAAGGCUUUGGUCAGCCUUUCAUCUGCGCAUUUGCUCACGAUGUAGGUAGUCUCGCUAACCUGUUCCACUACCUUAAAGGGUCCCUGCCAGGCUGCUUGCAGCUUGUCCUUUUUAACGGGCCUCAGAGCCAGUACCUUCUGCCCUAAGUCCAGCACUCUAUCCUGGGCCCUCCUAUCGUACCACUUUUUCUGGUCCUCCUGGGCCGCCUGCAGGUUCUUCCGAACCGAUUCGGUGAGGGCCCGCAGACGGUCCCGGAACUCCAGGACAUACUGGACGAUAGGGACUCCCCCCUCAUCUGUAUUGCCCUCCCAGUGUUCCCGUACGAGCUCCAGGGGGCCCCGAACUUUUCUCCCGUACAAGAGUUCAAAGGGGGAAAACCCAGUGGAGGCCUGGGGCACCUCACGGUAGGCAAACAGAAGGUGGGGAAGGAAUUUUUCCCAAUUCUUGUGGGACUCUGUAAACGUUUUUAGCAUCUGUUUUAGAGUGCCAUUGAAACGUUCACAGAGCCCGUUAGUCUGGGGAUGAUACGGGGCGCUGAACAGGGGCUGCACUCCACAGCUCUGCCACAGUUGUUGCGUCAGGGUGGCUGUGAACUGCGUCCCCCGAUCGGAGAGUAUCUCCUGUGGGAAACCUACUCAGGUGAAUAUCUGAAUAAGGGCCUCUGCCACGGUCUCGGCCUCUAUAUUGGUGAGGGCGACUGCCUCCGGGUAUCUAGUGGCGUAGUCAACCACCGUUAGGAUAAACUUUUUGCCCGACGGACUGGGGCGACUGAGGGGACCUAUUAAAUCCACCGCUACUCGGUGGAAGGGCUGUUCAAUGAUGGGUAGGGGGUGAAGCUUAGCCUUCCGAAGGUCUCCCCUUUUUCCUACCCUUUGGCAUACAUCACAUGUCCUACAAUAGUACUUUAGGUCCUGGGUAGCUCUGGGCCAGAAGAAGGUUUGAGUUAACCUGUCUCUGGUCUUUUUGACCCCUAAAUGUCCUGCUAGGGGAAUGUCAUGACUGAGUUUUAACAACUCAGCCCGAAAUUUACGGGGCACAACUAACUGUCUUUUAUGACCUGGGUAGCCCCCUGUCCCACCCCCUCGGUUACCCUAUAUAGCAACCCCUUAUACCACUCAAAUUUUUCGUGCGGGUUGUUCUCGGGGGUAGCGGCCGCGGCCUUCCUAUAGCCUUCUAAUGUGGGGUCAGUACGCUGUUCCUGUUCAAACCCUGGGGGGUAUCCCAGAAGGGUACGGGGGGAUCGGGUAAAGGGGGUAUUUCGACUCUUACCUGGUUCUCCUCAGAGUGCAGCGGAGCUUCCAGUCUGGCUUGAGCUCGGGUGGUAACCGGGUAGGCCUCGGCAGUGGGGUCUCGGGCUAGUUGAGAGGUUAGGCAUCCCACAUCAUUUCCCAACAAAACCUCGGCGGGCAGUUCUUGCAUAAUCCCCACCUCCAGUUGUUUAGAGCCGGAACCCCAAUCAACAAGCAUAUUAGCGGUGGGCAGUUUGUGAAUAGCGCCCCCAGCCACCCUUACAGCGACUGUGCAUCCGGUGCGAGCUUGUGCUCUGACCGUGUGGGGCUGUACCACAGUCAAAGUAGCCCCAGAGUCUCUCAGCGCCCGGGCCCCCACGCCAUCGACGGUAAUCCAUUGGCGGUGGUGGUCCCGGUUGUCCCCCCCAGCUCGUACUGGAUUGACCUCAUGUAAUACGCUCCACUGUUCUUCGUGGUUAAGGGCAGGGCCUGUGUGUUCCUGUUGCACACAGUGAGCAGCUGCCCUGGGUUGUUGUGGGGCUGGCCGUUCCCAGCUUCCCCGGUUUAAGCGAGGGCACUGAUGCUUGUAAUGUCCUGGUUGCUUGCAGUAGUGACACACUGCAGGAGGUCGAGGUGUGUUUGCUGGGUUUGGUGGGGGGUUACCUAUGGCAGGUCUAGGUGGAGCCGGGUUUGUUGGAGCUGUGUACUGAGGCUUAAAUGGUGGUCUGCUCGCCCCUGGCUCCUUCCUCCUGUUAUCCUGGUACUCGUCCGCUAGCCUAGCGGCCUCCUCCACGGUUUUUGGUUUCCUAUCUUUUACCCAGUCUUUUAUGUCCUCUGCAGUAUGAUUAAAAAAUUGCUCCAGUAUUACUAGUUGCAAAGCUUCUUCUAGGGUGGUUGCCUGGCAGCCCUUCAUCCAAUUGCGGGCUGCCCGCUGCAAGCGAAAAGCCCAUUCCGUAUGGGAAUCUCUCCCAGACUUUCUCAGGUCUCUAAACUUUUUCCGGUAUGCCUCCGGAGUUACCGCAUAUCUGGCCAACAAAAUGUCUUUUAUUUUCUCAUAAUUAUGUAUGUCCCCCUCAGGUACUGCUCGCAGCGCCUCGGCUGCUCUACCUGACAAUUUACUGCUGACGACUGCAGCCCAUUUGGUGGAGUCUAAUCCCUCCAGUGCACACUGACGUUCAAAGUCUUGCAAGUAACUGUCAAUUUCCAUUUCAUUGUCGACAAAUGAUUUAAACGCUGCAUAAUUUACCUUCUUUGGUAUUUCCCCAAUACUUCUCGGGGGGUGUAGCAAAUCCCCCUGUGACGCUCUGUCCCGGUCAUCUCGCUCUUUUUGCGCUUGUCUGGCUUGUGCUACGACCUGCAGUAUCGCCUCUGAGGAUGGCUUGGGUCCCAAUAAACUGAGUGUCCAUCGGAUGUCCUUUUGCAUCACGGUUUCUUCCUCUUGAUCCAUCUCUAUAUUACUGGUAUUAUCGCUCUGCAUUAACUCCGCAAUUAACGUGGCUUUUGUUUUGUUACUUGCCACUCUGCCUCAAGCUUCCAGUAAGUCCUUUAGCGUGGUUCUUUUAAGUAGCUGGUACUGCUGAGCCAUUCAUUCCUUUGCUUGUUUUGAAAUGUCCAUUUGGGGUUCGAAUCCCUCCGCUUGCCACCAGUUGUAAGGAAAUCAAGUAUAGCUGAACCGCUUUGAUAAUUCCUCCUGCAAUGCCAGCGUCUAGGGUAGAUCCAAGCAAUAAAGUCCAUAAGAAAUAUAACAGCUUCCCAAGAUAAUCCCCCUGGUAAAGCAUACGAAUUCCCAAAUAACAGUCAGAGUCCAGAAUCAGGAUACAAGUAGAUCUGAGGUCUGGAAUCCCCAGCCUGCUUUUUAUUAGGGUUACAUACAAAAAAUACACACCCAGGGGGAGGCAUUAAAUCACCAAUCAGGUACAGGUUACAGCCCCUACCUCCCUCCCCUCUGAUAAACAGUUAACUUCAUUAAAACGUGCACUAUUUUACCCCAGUUCUGGAUGUACCCCAAAAACAGGGGGUACACCUUUAAAUUGGGCACCGCUGGAUAGUGCUCACUUGUGGGGACAAUAUGUCAAAAAAUCAGUCCAUUCGGAUGAAUGGUUCGGGAGUUAUGGAGCACUAAAGUUUUGACCGACCGCACGGAUCAUCUAGCCGAAAAUAGUUCCAUAAGUUUUGGCCCUGCGGUCGGUCUCCGUUUAGGCGAAUAAAAAAGACGAAAGUCCUGCCAUCCGUUCGCAUCUUCGUGGUCGUUGAAAUCCCCAUACGAAGUUGCAUGUAACUACCGAACGGCCGGUGAUUCGGUUUUUUCCGUGCGAAGUUCUGGAUGUAUGGAGGUCUCAGCGGUGUUCGCCUGUUUGCGUAUCCGAUUUUAGUUCCACGCGUUGACGGGCAAACACCGCUGUUCGCACGUAAAAUGGCCGCGACCACGUGUAAAGUGCCGAAAUGGCGGCCACCUAGAUUUUACACGGGGAAUUCGCCUGAAUCCAUCCGAAGGGUAGCAAUUAUAGCUAUAUGCCGAAUUCCAGCUGAAUUGGGUGAAUUAACUGUGCAACAAAGGUAGAAAUUCUGAUGAACGGAGUCAUUUCUUCACACCAAUAUCUUGCCAAUCUCAUUUAACCGCUGGCAGACUGUCUCUCUUUUCACAGAAUUGGGAACAGAUUUCUUCUGACGCUUGGAUCCUCCGAACGAUCAAGGGUUACGAGAUAGAUUUUACGGAUGCCCCGACCCAGGCACGUCGCCCGCGACCGAUAAGAACGUCGGCGUCACGCGCCAAACUCAUAGACGACGAAAUUCAAAGCUUGUUUCUCAAGGGAGCGGUCGAAUUUGCUCCGGACGACACGGGCUUCAUCAGCAAUAUAUUUGUUGUCCAGAAGAAGACGGGAGACUACUGACCCGUCAUCAACCUACGAGAUUUGAACGCAUUCGUAGCCUACAGGCACUUCAAAAUGGAGGGCAUUCAUCUUCUCAGGGACCUACUCCUGGAACACGACUGGUUCACUCGCUUGGAUCUAAAGGACGCCUAUCUAUCGAUCCCGAUAGCCCAGUCCAGUCGACCAUUCCUUCGUUUCCACUGGAGGGGUCGCACAUGUCAAUUCACGUGUCUCCCGUUCGGACUCAGUUCCGCACCGUGGUGCUUCACAAAACUGCUCAAGCCGGCAAUGGCGCACCUACGGACAUUGGGUAUCCGCUGCCUAAUAUACCUGGACGACAUUCUGAUAUUCUGUGGAAGCGACUCCAGACUUCGAUCUCAGACGAAAUUUAUAGUGCACUUUCUGGAAUCCUUAGGCUUCAUGGUGAACAGGGAAAAGUCGUCACUCUCCCCAUCAAGAACUGUUCAAUUUCUCGGAUUCAAGAUAGAUUCAGUGUCAUGCACGCUACGCCUUCCCAAAUCAAAGAUUGCGAACAUUCGGAAGGAGAUAAGACGUUUUCUGCGGAGAGACACGGUUCCUCUGAGACUCCUGGCCAGGAUAGUAGGGCUGCUGUCAUCCUCCAUACAAGCUAUCUUCCCGGGACCCCUCCACUAUCGGGCCAUGCAACGAUUGAAAGCUCAUCACCUGAGGCGGGGACACUCUUACGACCAAGAAAUAGGAAUAACUACGGAGGUCCGGACAGAACUUCAUUGGUGGCUCCUCCACAUGGAGGCUUGGAACGGCAGAGCCAUUUUCAGUCUGAACCCGGACUUUGUCGUGGAGUCAGACGCCAGUCUAUGGGGUGGGGAGCCCACUGCGCACACGCGUCCACGGGGGGACCGUGGUCAGAGGAAGAAAAACAACUCCACAUCAAUUGCCUGGAACUGAUAGCCGGAUCCUUUGCUAUCCGCAACCUAGCCAAACACAUGUCCGAUUGUUGCAUUCUCCUACGCAUGGACAACAUAUCUGCGGUCCAGUACGUGAAUCACCUGGGGGGAGCCAGGUCGCGAGCCUUGACCGAGGCUACCAAGGAUAUAUAUCGGUUUUGUCUACCACGCAACAUAACGGUCAGAGCGGAGUACUUACCCGGUCUCAACAACCUCACCGCGGACUGGUUUUCUCGUCAUUGGCGGGACACCAGCGAUUGGAAAUUGGACACAACGAUCUUCGACAUGGUGAGAACGCUCAGGGGGCCGCUCCACAUAGAUCUUUUUGCAUCACGCACGAAUGCACAACUACCAAGGUAUUACAGCUGGCUACUGGAUCCACGGAGCGAGGCGGUGGACGCAUUUCUGCAACACUGGCCCUCGGUAGGGGCAUACGCUUUCCCACCUUUUUCGAUGCUGGCGAGGGUGCUUCACAAAAUACGUCUGGCCAAAACAUCGUUGAUACUAAUAGCACUGCUAUGGAGAAGCCAAGCUUGGUUCCCGGACCUACUAGCGUUGUCUCAGGACCAUCCACUAGUACUGCCAACUUUUCCAAUGCUUCUCACGAACCCGAGUGCAGAACCUCACCCAUUACUAGUACAGGACCGUCUAGAAUUGGUAGCCUGGACUCUUACAGGGGAUCUUGGGCAGUCUCAGAUCUAUCACAAACGACUAAAGAUCUCCUAUGGGACUCAUGGGCACCGGGUACAAGACGUAGCUACAUGGGAUGUAUGGGACCGCUGGUGUCUGGGACGGGGCCUUGAUCCCUUUACAGCACCUGUCUCUGCCAUACUAAAUUUCCUGUCCUACCUGUUCUCCACCGGGAAAUCGUACCGGUCUAUCAAUGUAACUCGCUCCGCCAUCUCGGCGGCGCAUAUUCCGGUCAACGGCACUCCAGUGGGUCAAGAGACCUUAGUGUGUAGGCUAUUAAGGGGCAUCAAAUUAGCCAGACCACCAGCUCCGAAAUAUCAACGACUAUGGGAUGUAGAUGUGGUUAUUCGUUUUAUCCGGGAAUGGCCAGAUAACACGGCCUUGUCACUCAGGCAAUUGUCGGCCAAGCUCACCUUCUUGUUAUGUUUAGUAUCCUUUCGACAGGUUUCGGACGUUCGGACAUUCGACGUAGACGGUUUUUCUAUAACCCCCGUCGGUGUUACGUUUUUGAUUUCGCGCAGGACGAAGACGGAUUCAAAGUCCGUGUCCUAUCCCUUUUUUCCGGCGGUUCCUCGCCUUUGUGUCGUCGAGACUCUGCUCUGCUAUGUAGAGGUUACGGCGCCCCUUCGGCCUUCCGGAUCCGGACAAUUGUUAAUCUCAUACACCAAACCUCACAAGCCAGUCACCACAACUACACUAGCCAGGUGGAUAAGGUGGUUACUAUCUUUAGCUGGAAUUGACACUAGCUUUGGGGCCCAUUCGGUCAGGGGGGCGGCGGCAUCUAGGGCCUUUUUGACGGGAGCCUCUUUGACUGAUAUUUUAUAUACUGCGGAUUGGACAAGUUAAAGGUAAAAACUGAACCAAGGAAUGCUUAACUCACAUGAUGAAAGCUAGUGGACACAACACUCUCAGAUCAUAGUUAUGUCACAAGUUAGUCUCAGGGAUAAAUUAUUCAAGACAGAAAGGUUAAACAGUGUUUAAUGUGGACAAGUUAGAUUAGACGUGUUAUGUGGACAAUAGUUGCGUUCCAAAACCUUUCACUUGUUUCUGUUUUUUUCAGUUUGACAUCGCAUUGUAAAGCGACGGCGGUUCCAGAAUGUUCCCAGUUCACAUCGCAAGUUACCAAGUUUUGUAUUGUUCAAGUUUCUACAACACAACAUCGGACGUUUCUCCAGGCAUGGGUACAUCAAAGAAAGAGGAAAUGGAGAGCCUGUCAGGGACUUAUAUACCGGAUGUACUGGAC